rnacentral:rRNA from 1 species
UACGGAGGAUGCGAGCGUUAUCCGGAUUUAUUGGGUUUAAAGGGUGCGUAGGCGGCUUUUUAAGUCAGCGGUGAAAUUUUGCAGCUUAACUGUAACAGUGCCGUUGAUACUGGGGAGCUAGGAUUUGGUUGCUGUGGGUGGAAUGUGUGGUGUAGCGGUGAAAUGCUUAGAGAUCACACAGAACACCGAUUGCGAAGGCAGCACACUAAGUCAUUAUUGACGCUGAGGCACGAAAGUGUGGGGAUCAAACAGGAUUAGA